rnacentral:rRNA from 1 species
AGCGAACGCUGGCGGCAGGCCUAACACAUGCAAGUCGAACGAACUCUUCGGAGUUAGUGGCGGACGGGUGAGUAACACGUGGGAACGUGCCUUUUGGUUCGGAAUAACUCAGGGAAACUUGUGCUAAUACCGAAUGUGCCCUUCGGGGGAAAGAUUUAUCGCCAUUAGAGCGGCCCGCGUCUGAUUAGCUAGUUGGUGAGGUAACGGCUCACCAAGGCGACGAUCAGUAGCUGGUCUGAGAGGAUGACCAGCCACACUGGGACUGAGACACGGCCCAGACUCCUACGGGAGGCAGCAGUGGGGAAUCUUGCGCAAUGGGCGAAAGCCUGACGCAGCCAUGCCGCGUGAAUGAUGAAGCUCUUAGGAUUGUAAAAUUCUUUCACCGGGGACGAUAAUGACGGUACCCGGAGAAGAAGCCCCGGCUAACUUCGUG